rnacentral:ncRNA from 1 species
UAAGAAACUGUGAAAAGGAUUAGUAGUAAAGUUACUUUUAACAGAAAACGAAUGGUUGAUGUGAAUUCGUAAAGUGAUUUUUUGAACUCACCUUAGAGUGUUUAGUCGAAUUUAAGUAGAUUAAAACGUGCGGUCGCGUUAAGACGUCAAGUGUCGUAUUUAAUACGAAAUGUAGGUGGCAUCGCGGUCAUAUCGUCCUACAG